rnacentral:rRNA from 1 species
UGGCGAGGCUGAAAAAGCGUAGUCGAUGGGAAACAGGUUAAUAUUCCUGUACUUCUGGUUACUGCGAUGGAGGACGGAGAAGACUAGGCCAGCUUGGCGUUGGUUGUCAAGUUUAAGGUGGUAGGCUGAAAUCUAGGUAAAUCCAGGGUUUCAAGGCCGAGAGCUGAUGACGAGUCGUCUUUUAGAUGACGAAGUGGUUGAUGCCAUGCUUCCAAGAAAAAGCUUCAAGCUUCAGGUAACCAGGAACCGUACCCCAAACCGACACAGGUGGUCGGGUAGAGAAUACCAAGGCGCUUGAGAGAACUCGGGUGAAGAACUGAGCAAAUGGCACCGUAACUUCGGGAGAAGGUGCGCCGCUAGGUGAAGAUUACUCCGUAAGCUCUGGCUGGUCGAAGAUACCAGGCCGCUGCGACUGUUUAUUAAAACACAGCACUCUGCAAACACGAAAGUGGACGUAUAGGGUGUGACGCCUGCCCGGUGCCGGAAGGUUAAUUGAUGGGGUUAGCGCAAGCGAAGCUCUUGAUCAAGCCGGUAAACGGCGGCCGUAACAAUAACGGUCCUAAGGUAGCGAAACUCCUUGUCGGGUAAGUUCCGACCUGCACGAAUGGCGUAACGAUGGCGGCGCUGUUCCACCCGAGACUCAGUGAAAUUGAAAUCGCUGUGAAGAUGCAGUGUAUCCGCGGGACGGAAAGACCCGUGAACCUUUACUGUAGCUUUGCACUGGACUUUGAGCCUGCGUGUAGGAUAGGUGGGAGGCUUUGAAGCGUGGACGCCAGUUCGCGUGGAGCCAUCCUUGAAAUACCACCUGGCAUGCUUGAGGUUCUAACUCUGGUCCGUAAUCCGGAUCGAGANNGCGGUGGGCAGUUUGACUGGGGCGGUCUCCUAAGGAGUAACGGAGGAGUACGAAGGUGCGCUCAGACCGGUCGGAAAUCGGUCGCAGAGUAUAAAGGCAAAGCGCGCUUGACUGCGAGAGACACGUCGAGCAGGUACGAAAGUAGGUCUUAGUGAUCCGGUGGUUCUGUAUGGAAGGCCAUCGCUCAACGGAUAAAAGGUACUCCGCGGAUAACAGGCUGAUACCGCCCAAGAGUUCAUAUCGACGGCGGUGUUUGGCACCGAUGUCGGCUCNAUCACAUCCUGGGGNNACAGUCCCAAGGGUAUGGCUGUUCGCCAUUUAAAGUGGUACGCGAGCUGGGUUUAGAACGUCGUGAGACAGUUCGGUCCCUAUCUGCCGUGGACGUUUGAGAUUUGAGAGGGCUGCUCAGAGAGGACCGGAGUGGACGAACCUCUGGUGUUCCGGUUGUCACGCCAGUGGCAUUGCCGGGUAGCUAUGUUCGGAAAAGAUAACCGCUGAAAGCAUCUAAGCGGGAAACUUGCCUCAAGAUGAGAUCUCACUGGGAACUUGAUUCCGGGCCGUCGAAGACUACGACGUUGAUAGGCUGGGUGUGUAAGCGUUGUGAGGCGUUGAGCUAACCAGUACUAAUUGCCCGU